UGUUAAAAAAUUCAUCUAUUUGUAUUGUUAAACACUAACGAGACUAACAAAAUAAUUAAUCAGUGAGAUGUAACGUGCCAUGUGAACCUCAUGCUAACAUAUAUAGAGACAAGCUUUUAACAAUAAAAUUGGAUGAGUUUUUUUAACA
rnacentral:pre_miRNA from 1 species